CUAAACCCUCUCUCUAAAAAAAAAUUCCAAAUCAAAGUGUAAAAACGAUGAAAUUGAAAUACGUAAAGUAAUGAUGAUAGACAUGGUGUUGGAUCUGAUAUUUGGGCGUUGUUAAGAACUAAAACGCAAAGAUUGAAGCAAGACCCAGGAUUUCACCAUGUAAAAGGCCUAAAUGUGGGUUUCUAUCAGAUUUAAACAAGUCAAAGCAUGGACGUCUAAGGAACUAAGCAUAUCGGUAUGGACAUUUGGGAUGUGGCUAUGGAGAGAAGGGAAGCUGCUCGAGAAAUUGUUUGCAGAGCAUAUCUAGGGGUUUGGAAUGAGGUGUUGGUUACUACAAUAGCCGAUUUGCCCCGUGUUAUCCAGUCUACUAAAACAUUGUUAUUGCCUCUCUUUAUUGGUUCAGGGAUGUCACAGAGACCUGGAUUUUGGGAUGUUUGUAUUGGCUUAUAACUUUUUACCCAUCUUCAACGCAAAAUCAUCGAGGGAUUUGAUAUUGCGGUUAGCGGGGAGUUAGAAAGGGAGAGCUUAUGUUUCCACCUUUAGCUUUUAUUGCGACUUACAUUUCCUGCGUCCUCAGCCCAAGUCAAGGCAACUGAGAGGCUUGAGGUUGUAUACCGUGUCCUAAAAUAGGUGAUUCUUACUGGUUCACCUGGACGCAAAGCAAGAAGCAAGUUAGCAAGCAGAUAUUUACUUUCUUGCUCAAAGCUGUAGGAAAGAGCACAAAUGAAGGAACAAGCUGGGUUAGAUGAGAAUGGUACAAGAAACACCAUCACCUAGUGUUAUUCUGAUGCCCAUACAUGAUCAAGCUUCGAAUCCUUGCGCUAUUACAACUACUCCAGCAAGAGGAACCAGUUCACAAUAUUAAUGAAGAAGUCUUCUUGCACUGAGCACAUUGUUAAGCUAGGGGUAGAGGUAAUUUAGACUGAUGAUGUUGGAAUACCAGUAGAUGUAAAGCAGGGAUAGCAUCUGUCUAGUAUAUGGCACAUGAACUGAACUGGUUUUUGACACCUGAAUGUCUAGUAUGUGUCGCAGCCAUUCAAUUUGGUGAAUGAUUAUUAUUGUAGUUUCAGAAAUAAGAAUAAAAU